UAUGAUUUCGAAACGCGCGUGCAUAAUGGCCGACACGAAGCAAACUUUGUUGCUGCUAAGACUUCUGAAGGCGAUGAAUGGUAUGCUAGCGGUACAGAUUGCGUGGGAAAGUUUGUGGGGCGCUACAGAACAGGGGCGUAUAAGUUGUUUACAUUCAUUGCGCACAACGCAUCGGGCUUUGACAGCUAUCUCGUUCUGGAAUACAUGACCAAGCAGGGUAUUAAACCCUUUAUAGUCAUGAAGGGUAGCAGAGUCGUUAUGAUGCGCGAUAAUGCCUACAGCCAGAGAUUGGUCGACUCAUUUAGCUUUUUGCCCAUGCGGUUGGCUAACGCACCGGAGGCGUUGGAUUUUGAAGAUAUGGCAAAAGGUAAUUUUCCUCAUAUAUUUAACACGCGGGCCAACGAGUCUUAUGUCGGUGCAUACCCUGAGAUCUCAUAUUAUGGUUAUGAUUCCAUGACUAGCGAUCAAAAGACGGAUUUCGCUAUAUGGUACAGAUCUGUAAGGCACAAAAAAUUUGACCUUCAGAAACAGCUGCGCCGCUACUGUGUCAACGAUGUGAGGAUCCUGCACACGGCGUGUGGGAUCUACAGGGAAAAUUUCAUAGAGUGUGCAACUAUAGACCCCUUUGCAUAUGCCACUCUGGCUUCGGCGUGCAUGGCCACCUUCAAAAAGUCGUUCUUGAAAAAAAACGUCUUGGCAUUGACCUACGAGGGGGUCUAUCGGAAAAAGCAAAAGUCGUUCUCAUGUGCAUCCAUCCAGUGGCUUGAAUAUCUAUCCCACUCCAAUAACCUGGAGAUUCAGCACGCUCUCAAGCACGGGGAGGCUGAAUAUGGUCCAUUCUUCCUAGAUGGAUAUGCACCAGCUAUAAACACAGCCUAUGAAUUUGCAGGAUGCUUUUAUCAUGGGUGUGAACGUUGCUACAAUGCUGGUCAACAGAAUCCUGUCGUCAAAAAGACCUAUGGUGAAUUAUGGUUGCAGUUUCACCUCAAAGUCAAGGCCCUCAAAAGAGAUCAUGGUUUAAGAGUUGUGGUCAUGGUGGAGUGUGAGUGGCAUAGACAGAAAAAGACAGAUGCUGCAGUGCAGGCAUUCUUGGCUACUCUGAAGAUACAACCCAGGAUUGAUCCUCGCGACUCUCUCUAUGGGGGUCGCACCAAUGCCAUCAAAAUGUACCACAAGGCCGAGCCCGGUGAGAAAAUACGCUACUAUGACUUUACCUCUCUCUACCCCACAGUACAGGCCCGCUGUCCAUAUCCUGUAGGACACCCCCAGAUCAUUUUCAGGAAUUUUGGUCCUUUGGAUGGGUAUUUCGGCAUCGUCAAAUGCACUGUGUUGCCCCCCAGAGGUCUUUACCAUCCUGUGCUCCCUUACAGAUGUCAUGGGAAGCUGAUGUUCCCCCUCUGUGGUACAUGUGCCACUGAGCUCAAUCAGACAGACGCAUGUCAUCACGGCGACGAUGAAAGGGCUCUGACAGGUACAUGGGUGACUUUAGAGGUACAAAAGGCCGUAGAAAAGGGGUAUGUGAUAAUCCAGAUGCAUGAAGUAUGGCACUACCCCAAGCGGUCGAAGUCUCUGUUUAAAGGGUAUGUCAAAACGUUUCUCAAGCGUAAACAGGAGGCUUCAGGAUACCCCAGCACAGUGGAUACUGAGGAGAAACAGCAGGCGUAUGUGCAAAACUAUCUGGUUAAGGAAGGCAUACAGCUGGAUCACGACAACAUGAGCGUUAACAAAGCCAUGCGUAAUUGCAACAAGUUGAUUCUCAACAGCCUGUGGGGUCGCUUUUCGCUACGCCCAGACCUACCCACUUGUGAGCUAAUUGCUGAACCUGAAAGGUUCACCCAGCUCAUGUUCAGCGACAGCUAUCACAUUAGCCACUUUUGUUUUGUUUCUGAUGAGGUGGCCCUUGUACAAUGGAAACACAAAGAUGCCCGUCUCGAAAGGGCUCGGGAUGUUAACGUGAUUGUGGGGGCUGUGACUACGGCCCAUGCCAGGCUCAUGCUCUAUGACCUUCUAGACAAAUUACAGGAGCGUAUCUUCUAUUGUGACACAGACAGCAUCAUUUUUGUUUCUAAGGAGGGUGAUUGGGUACCCCCUUUAGGUCCUUAUCUGGGCGACUUGACCGACGAGAUAAAUGAUGGCGAUCGGUAUGGUACCGAGCAGGAGGAUUACAUUAGCGAAUAUGUCUCAACAGGUCCUAAAAGCUAUGCUUACCACACACGUCAGCACAAGUCUGUAGUGAAAUGCAAAGGGGUGACUUUAAAUGCAGCAAAUGCUGAAGUGGUCACCCAGCAGACACUGAAAUGUCUAAUAGAUGAUUUUGUCAACAAUCGACCGCAAACCCGCGACAUCACCACCACGGUAGAUACCAUUCAAAGGAAUAAGAAUAAGCUUCUGCUUAAAAACGCUACUGUGGUUAAACGACUUAGGGUGGUUUACAACAAACGCAGGGUUUUUCCCGACAAAACCACGCUUCCUUACGGCUAUUAACCAUUUUGUUUAUAGUGUCCAAAUUAUCCCCUGUUUUUCUUCUUCUUCUUCCACAUAUUUUUUUUUUUAUAUCUUUUUAUAUUAUUCAUUUUGUAUUUUUGAGGUGUUAUGCACAUUGUGUUAAGAAAAUCAAUUCAUACGGAAAUAUACCACACUUUCCGGCAGGUUAUUAACUAUUUUGUUUUGAUUUAUUGUUUUCAAAUUGAUCCAUGUGUUCUUCUCCUUUUAAUCUUUUUAUUUGAAUCAUUCUGUAUUUUAGGGGGUAUUCAUAAUGUGAUAAAAGAAAUUCAAAUCACAUGUUAAAUGUAUAUGUAUCAUAAUGUAUCUGUAUAUACUUUUAUAUGCGUCAUGCAUUAAUGAUGAAUGAUGAAUAUCGUAUGCUAAAUGUUUUGUGGAUCAUGCAUGUGUUAAUAAAGCAUGUUAACUGUCACAUGUUUCACGGUUCUAUGGUCACAAGGCAGCCGUCCGUCAGAGGGGAUGCACACAGACCGCAGAGAUGGC
rnacentral:lncRNA from 1 species